AGUCGGCGCGGGCACGGUCGAAUAAAUCGACUGUAGGCAUAGUCCCGAUGAGUUGAUGUAGACCAGACCGCUGAGGCGGCGAUUUGCGCACAUCCGUUAAGCAAUUUUAACAUAGUGCGGAUGUAGACGCGGCCUCCAAUGACAAUGCGCGAGGGCCGGAUCAGACUUUAGCCAUGAGGUAAUUGACUUCUUACGGCCGCGGCGGUUUAGAACCAGCGGGGCGCCCGGCUGUUUGAAUCCGGCGACUCGGCGGAUGUGGCCGCUUGCAGCAGCGGUUCACAGGCGGAAGCAGGCGGCUCAGAGGCGCAGCGGCGUGGGCGGAGCCCAGCGGUGGAGGCGAAACAGCGAGGCAACAGCCAGUAGCACUUUCAGGCGAGCACGCAAGGGGGACACGGACGCGCGGCGACCUGGUAAAGGCGGGAGCAGAGGAGAGGUGCCAGGCCAGAGCGGAGGCAACAGCUCGGCUCAACCAUGGCGUGAGGCCUCAGCAGAGAAGCGGAGGCGCGAGGCGAGCCGCAACCACAGGGGCGCCGGGCGGUGCUGCGCGGAAGCCGGUCUGAGGUGAAGGGUAGCAAGGCGGCCAGCGGCUCUCCCCGACUACAGUUGAGGCGAGCGUCCGCGGCGGCUGAGGCGCGACAGAGGCAAGGCCAGCUCCGGGAAUACGCAUAUGCAACAUAUGCAGUCAACGGUGGACCAAUCUCCUUCCUCCUGGCAUAGUCCUUCCUUUCCCUGGUUCUCACUUUCCUUUCUUGUUUUAUUCAGAUCUCAUCCAGUCUAGCACGUCCUUUGUGAGGACACGGAGCAUCUUGCUUGAUACGAAGUAGUAAUUGCCUAAAAACAUGCAUAUCACAGACCGUCUGAUCUCCAUUAUAUUCGAGGCGUUGACGGCGGCUCACGUAAAAAUGCAGAGCAACCACGGCGGCUUAAAGAACCGGUUUAUAGGCGCUGCGGUGAAGGCGGAGCUCCGGCAGCGCAGCAGUUUGGAGCAAAGCACGGACGGGCCACGCAGAGGCGGACGGGCGAGGCGGUCUGUUACAGCGGAGGCAGCAACUGCCACGGAAGCCCUCCCGGUGACUCGGAGCAGGGCCGAGGCUGCGACGGCGGUCGACCGCGACGGCGGAGGCCGGCUUGAAAGUGAGGCGGCCAAGCAGCUUUAGGAGAUGACUUGUCUUCUUUUUCUUCCUUGUGAAAAAAAGGCGGAGGCGGUAGUGCCUAUGCCUGAUGUGUCUCGGGAGUCGGGACUGUAGCUUCAAAGAUGUGACAACCCUGUUAGAGCAUGUACAAUGGUUGAUAAGAUAGUCUUAUCUUAAAUUUUACAUGUAAUUUAGAGAAAACAAAAAAAUAUGUCUACAAUGAAUUAUAUCUUAGUCUUAUCUUAAAUAACUAGCUAUUCCUAAAAAUAUGAUGAGA